rnacentral:rRNA from 1 species
CCUACGGGAGGCAGCAGUGGGGAAUACUGGACAAUGGGCGCAAGCCUGAUCCAGCCAUACCGCGUGGGUGAAGAAGGCCUUCGGGUUGUAAAGCCCUUUUGUUGGGAAAGAAAUCCAGCUGGUUAAUACCCGGUUGGGAUGACGGUACCCAAAGAAUAAGCACCGGCUAACUUCGUGCCAGCAGCCGCGGUAAUACGAAGGGUGCAAGCGUUACUCGGAAUUACUGGGCGUAAAGCGUGCGUAGGUGGUCGUUUAAGUCUGUUGUGAAAGCCCUGGGCUCAACCUGGGAACUGCAGUGGAAACUGGACGACUAGAGUGUGGUAGAGGGUAGCGGAAUUCCUGGUGUAGCAGUGAAAUGCGUAGAGAUCAGGAGGAACAUCCAUGGCGAAGGCAGCUACCUGGACCAACACUGACACUGAGGCACGAAAGCGUGGGGAGCAAACAGGAUUAGAUACCCUGGUAGUCCACGCCCCGAACGAUGCGAACUGGAUGUUGGGUGCAAUUUGGCACGCAGUAUCGAAGCUAACGCGUUAAGUUCGCCGCCUGGGGAGUACGGUCGCAAGACUGAAACUUAAAUGAAUUGACGGCUGAGACCGAGCGACGACGACACGAGGGAGGAGG